UACGGAGGGGACUAGCGUUGUUCGGAAUUACUGGGCGUAAAGCGCACGUAGGCGGCUUUCUAAGUCAGGGGUGAAAUCCUGGAGCUCAACUCCAGAACUGCCUUUGAUACUGGAGAGCUUGAGUCCGGGAGAGGUGAGUGGAAUCCGAGUGUAGAGGUGAAAUUCGUAGAUAUUCGGAAGAACACCAGUGGCGAAGGCGGCUCACUGGUCCCAGUACUGACGCUGAGGUGCGAAAGCGUGGGGAGCAAACAGG
rnacentral:rRNA from 1 species